rnacentral:lncRNA from 1 species
GCACAGGCAAUGACAGUAGGGGUUGGGGGUGCCAGCAGUGGCCCUGGGGUACCUACCCAAAGGAGAAACGUUAUCUAGCUUGCAGGUAUAGUCUGAGAAAGCUUUCUAGUUUCUGAGACCUAAAGGAUGAGGAAGAAUUAGCCAUAUAAACAAGGAUAAGGUGUGGGGCUGGACAUGGAGAAUGUUCUAAGCAGAAGGAACAGGACUGAGAAGAAGCCUGGAGGCUUUGGUGUCGAGAGCAGAGGCUGGAGGGUUGACAGAGGCUGGCUUGAGAGCUUGGACUUUAUUCUGAGGGCAUUGAAGAACUACAGAAAGAUUUUAGGUUAAUCCCAUCCUGAGCCACGGAAACUGGAGCUGGGAGUUUCACCACCUUAUCACCACCAGAGAGCCUCCAAGAUCCUCCUUCCCCUCCUUCUCUCUCCUACUUCUCCCACCUCCUCCUUUUUCUCCUAGGUGCGCUCUAACUCCCUGCCUCCCUUCUACCAGGGCUCAUCAGAGCCUGAAACAUGCUGUGUGUGCAUCUGUGUAUGGAUGUAUGCGUUAGGGGGCAUGGUAUGUGUGCAAGAAGCACAAGGAGGUGCCCACCAGCCACCAUCGGGAGAUGCGCCAGAGGGCUGUGCAAGGCUGAAAGGGAUUUCAGGAGGAUUCAGAGAUUAGAGAAUUAAACAUCCUGCUACAGCCUCCCUUGAGCCUGGAAUCCUUGUGGCUCCAGCUGCAUAGAGAGCUCAGCUGGGCCAAGCCAGAGUUGCAGGGGAUUCCUGGGCUCCUUCUCUUUACCCUGCCUCCUGCUCCCCAAGGCUCCCUCAAGCCCCUUCCCAGACAGGGACCUGGGCCACAAGACGCCUCCACCCCAGGGUCCAGAUGUGCAAACCUCCCCUCAACCCAUGUGCCUCUUCCAGGCACCCUCCAGGGGUGGAGUGCGCAAGCCAGACUCUUCAGCCAGCAAUCAUCAGAAUUCCAGCCCUGGCCACAAUCACUCCUGGAAGGCACAUGUCCAUUUUUCUCCAUCUCUGCAGCCCAGGCCCAUUGACCUCCUCACUCCCCACCCUCACCCCUCUCCCUUCCAGUCCCUGCACUGAAACCAGGCAGAUGUUUCUAUAAGAACACCCAUGUCACUGCUCUCCUCAGUGUCCUACAGUGGCUCCACACUGCCCUCAGGAUAAAAGCCAAACUCCUCCACUCUGGCCUCAGCUCCCAUUGCACAAGGUCCUGGGGUCCCUGCUUGCUCUCCCCUCCAGGCCUGGGCGCUGAUGGUCUCUACUCUCAGAGUCUCCGUCACUCAUUAUCUCCAGGCAAAUCUCUCUCUGUUCCUCAGGUCUCAAUUCAGAAGUCAGCUCCUGUUGGAAGCCUCUGACUACCACUGAGGCACACCCUUUAUGGGUGUGGGUUGUCAUGGCCCCCAGGACUUAGCCUGCCAUAGCACUGACCACACUGUACUGUAAAUAAAUGCCUGCUGAACAUAUUCAGCCUCGACACCACUAUAUCAAUAAAAACUCAAUCAUGUAUUCCAAGUGUAUGAAGAAAGGAAUGAGGCAGGAGAGAGGCGGGGUGGCAGUACCGUGCUGCAGACUUCAAGUGCCAAAGACACUACUGCAUUUAUAAUAGUUGCAGCUAUUAUUGAUUGUGUGCCAAGUCCACACCAGCCACUCUGCUAAGCAUGAUCUCAUUUCAUUCCCCCAGCAACCUUGAGAGAGAGGCAUGAUUGCUAUCAUUCCCAUUUUAUAGAUAAGGAAACUGAGGCUCGGAAGGAUUAAUUUACCCAAGGUUAUACAGCCAGAAGGAGGUCCAGGCUAGAUCUUCCUAAAGGCUGGGGUAGGGGCUUUAAGGUGGGUAAAAUGCAGCCCACUGAAAAGGCCAUGUAUCACCUCUAGAUUCUCAGCAGGCCUGGAGAAGAAAUCACUAGAGUACCCCAUCUUCCCCUCACACCAGGAGAAGUUCUGCUUCUCUGGCUACCUGGUAUGAGGUUCCUGAGGACCUAGGGGGAAAGUGUAUGACCCCACCCUGGAAGCUUCCAGGAGGAGUAAGAGAAGCAAGUCCCUCGUGACGUCCUUGUUCCCACUAGUGUCUCUUUCCGAAGCAGGAUUCUGACAAGUCCGGAGUACGUCCCCUCAUCAUCAGGGCAGGAGGUAACGUGCUGAAUUUAAUAGCAAAGCAAAUUUUGCUGGAGAAGAAAUGAGAUUUCUUUGUCAAGGUGAGUGUGUCUGGGAGAGCCAGGAACAGGGUGGAGUUGGGGGAUGGGGGCACUUUGGAGGGGCUGCAAAAGGGGAGUGUGGAUCUGGAAUUAUUAGAAUGUUGAUUAUGUCCUCUUGAUUGUUAAUGAAAUUCUUCACCUUGGGUUUCUGGACCAGGGGGAAAGCUCCCAGAGCUCAUUUUGCAGCUGAUGAGAGCAAGAGAGAGGGCAGGAGGGGGCAGAAGACUCUCGGCUUAGGGAGAAAUUAAAUUCCUCCUAAACAAAUGGAACUGGACAAGUCUGACCACCACCAUGUGAAGGCAGAGCCCUAGGCUGACCUGAAGUCCCCUGUGGAAAUGGGAUGGAGACCCCUGGCUGGGUAGGGAGUGGCCAAGAGGCUUGACUCAGGCAGCAGAGUGCAGCUCCAAUAAUAAUAGCUGACAUUACUGAGUACCUUCCAUGUAGCCAGAGCAAAUGAAUGUGCAUGUAUUAUCUCAUUUAAUCCUCCCAACAACUCUUGCAGGUAGGUAGUAUGAUCGUUCCCAUUCUGCAGAUGACAACACUGAGGCACAGAGAGGACUGAAGCUUGUCCAAGCUCCCACAGCUGGAAAGUGGAGGUGCCAGUCUUUCAGCCCAGGCAGCCUGCACCAGCACCUAUCCUUUGAGAUUUGAAAGACGCUCCAGCUCUCCUACUUUCUUUUCUUUCUUUUUUUUUUAAGACAGUAUUUCUCUUGCUCUGUUACCCGGGCUGGAAUGCAGUGAUGUGAUUGUGGCUCACUGCAGCCUCAAACUCCUGGGCUCAAGCAAUCUUCCCACUCAUCUUCCAGAGUAGCAGGGACUACAGGUGUGUGCUACCAUACCUGGCUAAUUUUUUUAUUUUUAAUAAGUCAGGGUCUUGCCAUGUUGCCCAGGCUGACCUCAAACUCCUGGCCUCAAGCGAUCCUCCCACCUCAGCCUCCCAAAGUGCUGGGAUUACAGGCAUGAGGCACUAGGCCCGGGCUCUCCCACUUUCUUCACUACCUCCCUGAGCCUCAACUGCGUCAUCUGUAACAUGGGGCCAGUAAUCGUUGUCAACAUGAAGAGCUGUUGUUAGGAGCCAAUGAAAUAAAAAUAAAUUUAAAACAACUUAGUACAGAAAUAGCAUUCCCUUUGAAGCCUUGCUCUCUGCCUUCCAAAAUGGGAAGUGUCCCUUCUUAUCCGGCUGGUUGAGGACCUAUGACACAGAGGUGCUGUUCUAGGCACUGGGAAUAGAACAGUGAACAAAAUGAACAAAAAUCCCUGCCCUUGUGGAACUUACAAUUAGUGGGAGACAGACCAUAAACAAGACAAAUAAGUACAUUAUAACCUAUAUUAGAGAAGGUAAAUACAAUAGAACAAAACGAGGCAACAGAGGAGGGGUUGGAGCACUGAUUGGGAAGGGCUGCAGUUCAAACAGGGCAGUCUGAGUUGGUCUCACCAAGAAAGUGACUUGAAGGAAGCAAAAGAGUGAGCAAAUAUUCAGGAUAACAGCACUGCUCAGGAAGAGGAAACAGCAGUGCAAAGGCUCUGAGGUGGGACUGCACUGUUCGUGUUACAGGAACAGUAAGGAGGCCAGAGUAGCUGUGUUAGCAAAGGUAGCAUAGUAGGAAUUGGAGUCACAAAUUCCAGAGGAAGUGCAGCUAGUGUAGGGUCUUGAUGGUCUUUGUAAGGACUUUUAGCUUUUAUCUGAAUGAGACAAGAAUCUAUCAGAGGGUUUUAGGCAUGAUCUGAUUGAUGUUUUAAAGGUAUAGCUGGGACAGCGGUAUUGAGACUAGACUAUAGGGGGCCAAGGGCAGAAGCAGAGAGGAGAGUUAGGAAGCUAUUGCAAAAACCCAGGUGAGAGUAGGUGGCAGCUUAGUUCAGGGAGGUAGUGACACAGAUGAUGCUGAAGUCUGAUUCUGGAUGUAUUGCGAAAGGGAAAGCCCCCAGGAUGAGCUGAUCAUCAAAAGUGAGGAAUGGGAGAAAGAAGCAAUCACCGCGGAUGAUUCUGAGGAUUUUACCCCUUCCACCUCUCAAUUCCUGAAGACCCAUCCCUUCCUUUUAAAAUCCAACUCUGGCCGGGCAUGCUGGCUCACGCCUGUAAUCCCAGCACUUUGGAAGGCCAAGACGGGCAGAUCACGAGGUCAAGAGAUCGAGACCAUCCUGGCCAAUGUGGUGAAACCCCAUCUUUACCAAAAAUACAAAAAUUAGCCGGGCGCGGUGGUGCACACCUGUAGUCCCAGCUACUCAGGAGGCUGGGGCAGGAGAAUCACUAGAAGCUGGGAGGCAGAGGUUGCAGUAGCCGAGGUUGAGCCAUUGCAUUCCAGCCUGGCGACAGAGCAAGGCUCCGUCUCAAAAAAAAAAAAAAAAAAAAUUCCAGCCCCCUCUCUCGGGGCUCUAUUGGAGAUCCACUGCUUUCAUCCCUCUCUCUUUCCAUUGUCCAGGCAUUUGCCUUACAGAGCCCAGGGCAGAGGACCCUGGUCAAACAACUUGACCCAGGGUAUAAAUCUGCCUCAUGGCCUUCUGGGGCUCCCCCAGUCCUUACCCUGGCUCAGAAGGUCCCAUCACAGUCUGCCGUCCACCUCAGCAGCCCCUCAAGGUCCCUUGCUCCUCCUGACUGCAGUACCCCUUUUCUCGCUCCCUGGAACUGCCUCUGCUCUUCUAUCUCACACAGCUGCCCACCAUGCUGCCCUCAGGUCUCAGUGGGAGCAUCACCACCCCUGGGAAACCUUCCCUGACCUGCUAUUCUGGAGGAAGCCCCUGAUUCCAGGCUCUCAAGCCCUGAGCCUCUACCACAGGGUUGCGUGUCUCUUUCCUUGUGUGAUUAUUUGAUGAAAGCCUGUCUCCCCACGUGACUAUAACCUCCAUAAAGGCAGGGCCCACCUGUAUCGCUAGAAGCAGACAAUUCACCAAAAGAGACAUUCAGUGGAUCUGACUUGGAUCCUUAGGCUUUUGGUAAAUUAACUUUCAUUGACCUAAAGCCUCCAGCUGCUAGGUAAAUGUCUGGCACAUAGCAGGUACUUCACAUAUAUUUAUUGAAGGAAUGAAUCAGAGUUCUCUAAGAUCUUGGGCAUGUGACAAACUUCCUGAGCCUCAGUUUCCCCAUAUGUAAGGAUGGGAAUAAGAAUACCUAUCUCAUGAGUCAUUGUGAGAAUUAAAAAACCUACGGCAUGAGCAAUGCCUCACACUAGUAGAUGCUCAAUAAUUGUUCCAAUGCAUGUUCAGACAAUUACCACCUUACAACUCCCCUGUGCUUCCCCUCCCCUCCCCCACUCCCUCUCAUCCCUCCUUCCAUUCUCCAGCCUCCUCCCCUCCCCACCCUUCCCCUCCUAAGGACUCCCAGAUGUGGAAUCACCAAAGCCUCUGAACGUUCCCCUUCUCCCCCAAGAUCCCCCAAUGCGCCACUGGUUACAUAUUGAUCCUGUUUAACUUUCCCAAUGGAUGAUAAACAUGAAAUUAAAAUGACUUCCUGGAAUAUUAAUGUAGUAAAUGGCCCUAUUAAAAGAAAGAAAAUACAGCUGAGAAAAUUCGCUUUGAUGUAGCGUUUCUGCAGGAGGCUCAUUUAUCUGCAGCUCAGACUCUCAAAAUGAGAUUCUGAAGGUUUCUCUGAUGUCUCUUAUUUUUCCCUCACCCAGAAUUUAAACAGAAAAUAGAAUCACAAGCUAGUGUCAUAAAACGUGGGCCUUUUCCCUUCUCCACCAAAAAGCAAAUGAAAACAGGGCCAGGUUGAUGUCAGUCUCUGCAAACAUGGGGCUGAGGACUCACCUGCUCCUCCCAAUCUCCUCUGUAUCUUGCUCACUGGGGCCUGGUCCAGGCUGCCAGGCCGGCUGCCUAGAUUCAGCAGGGGUUCCCAGAAGCCUGUGCUGCUACUGCUGCUGCUGAAGUUAGGAAAGUUGCCUCAGAGCUGGGUGCAGUGGCUCACGUCUGUAAUCCCAACACUUUGGGAGCCUGAGGCAGGUGGAUUAUCUGAGGUCAGGAGUUCGAGACCAGCCUGACCAACAUGGUGAAACCCUGUCUCUACUAAAAAUACAAAAAAAAAAAAAGCUGGGCCUGGUGGCAGGUGCCUGUAAUCCCAGCUACUCAGGAGGCUGAGG